UACGAAGGGGGCGAGCGUUGUUCGGAUUUACUGGGCGUAAAGGGCGCGUAGGCGGCCCUCCUUGUCGCGUGUGAAAGCCCCGGGCUCAACCUGGGAAUGGCAAUGGAUACUGGCAAGCUAGAGUGCGGUAGAGGGUAGUGGAAUUCCCGGUGUAGCGGUGAAAUGCGUAGAGAUCGGGAGGAACACCAGUGGCGAAGGCGGCUACCUGGACCAGCACUGACACUGAGGCACGAAAGCGUGGGGAGCAAACAGG
rnacentral:rRNA from 1 species